rnacentral:lncRNA from 1 species
UCUGCCUCCCGAGUGCUGGGAUUACAGGCGUGCGCCACCACUGCCCGGCUGGAUAAGGUCCUUCUUAAUUACACUUCACCUUAACUAAUUUUUUUUUUCACUGACUUAACUAAGAGUUUACAGAUUUGAUAAGGCUAGAUGGCCACUGAAGUCUAGAGAUCCAUGCAUUUCCUUUGUUGAUGCUGGGAAUACAGGUGUAUGCCACUAUACCUAGCUUUUUAUGUGGGUGUUAGGGAUUUGAACUCAGGGUGUUAUACCUUUGUGACAAGCACUUUACUCAUGGAACCUUCUCCCCAGCCAACCAUUACAUUUUAUUGAAUAAAAUAAUCUCAUUUUCAAAGGAGAAAAUUAAAGAUAUCAGAAACUAUGUGGAAUAGUUGGGAUGAGAACUCAUGUCUCACUUUUUCUUGAUGUUCUUUAUCCAAUACUAAGGUGCUGUAAGGCAAAGACAUUUUGUGUACUCAGUGGUGAAGGGAUCGGUGGAUGGCAGUAUCAGUGUGGCAUUGUACCCUGAGGGAAAUGCAGUCACAAUACCAGAUCAGCACUUUUCCUUUUUAAAUUAUAUAUAAGCAAAUGCUAUUCAUUACCGAAAUAUAUAGUAUGGUAAUACAACAUUAGAGGCAUAUUCAGACUUAUUAACCCAAUGCAUUACAUACUAUGUAUUACAUAGUUAACUAGUGUAAUCUUAGUUGAGCCCCAUAUAUUGCUUUUGUGACUUGUUUAAUUUUCAGACACCAAGGACCAAAUAGCUAGUUGAAACUGAUUCCCCACCCCCAGAAGGACUACUUUUGCAGUUUUGAAACUAAAUAGAGAGGAAAUAUGUGUUUUAGUUGCUGAUAGCUAUUUUUACAGGAGUCUGUGCCUUAAUGUUUAAGACCACAUCUAAGGAGACAGUUAAUGUUUUAACAAUUCUAAGAACAACAUUCCAGAGAGGAUAACAUGAAUUGGGGAAGCUUUGGCCUCCUUCCAGCGUGUGAUCUGCAUGUACUUUUCUAAGUCUUGUAUCUAUGCUAAUGAAGUCUGUAAGUUUCUGGUGUUAUUAAUUUUUCACCGGUAAUCAAGUAUUCUUUGCUGAAUAGUCAGAGAGUGACUAUUAAGUAAAAGGAAAAAAAUAUCUUUAUUUCUUCCUUUGUUUAGGAUGAAGUAAACUCUUGAUCUUUUAACGUUUUGUUGUGAACCAGUUUAUUUUUAUUUUUCUAUUUUUCUUAUAUAGAAAAUAGUUAUUUUACUAUAUUCUGAUUAUGUUUUUCCUUCCUCUAAUACCUCAGAUUCUCCCUACCUCGCCUCCCAUCUAAAUCCACACCUUUUUUCCUUUUAUUAGAAAACAAAUAGGCAUCUAAG